AGAGUUUGAUCAUGGCUCAGAGUGAAUGCUAUUGGUAUGCUUUACACAUGCAAGUCGAACGCAAUCCAAAGAUUGAGUGGCGUACAGGUGAGUAAUACAUAAGAAUCUACGCAAUAGAGGAGUUCAUGAUUUGAAAGGUUUUCUAAGUAAAAUUUAAAUGCUUCAUAUAAAAAAGGAUUAAUAUCGCUAUUGCAUGAGCUUAUGCGGGAUUAGGUAGUUGGUAGGGUAAAGGCCUACCAAGCCCAAGAUCUCUAGUUGUUCUGAGAGGAAGCACAACCACAUUGGGACUGAAACAAUGCUCAAACUUUUUAAGGCAGCAGUGGGGAAUAUUGGACAAUGAGCGAAAGCUUGAUCCAGCAAUAUCAUGUGAAUGAAGACAGUCAGUUUUGGUUGUAAAGUUCUUUCGUUGCUGAACAUUAUGAUUGUAGGCAAAUAAGAAGCCCCGGCUAACUUCGUGCCAGCAGCCGCGGUAAAACGGAGGGGGCAAGUGUUACUCGUAAGGACUGGGCGUAAAGGGUUCGUAGGCGGUUUGUAGUAAGUUAGGUGUUAAAUAAUAGGUCUCAAGCUUAUUUUUGCGUCUAAAACUGACAAUACUAGAGUUUGAUAGAGGAUAAGGGUACUUUUGAUGGAGAGGUAGAAUUCGCAGAUAUCAAUAGGGACCACCAACUGGCGAAGGCGCUUAUCUGGGUCAAACUGACGCUGAGGAACGAAAGCGCGGGGAGCAAACAGGAUUAGAUACCCUUGUAGUCC
rnacentral:rRNA from 1 species